rnacentral:lncRNA from 1 species
AGGUCGACGAACUAAAAGGUAAGCAUAUUUUUGCAAGGGGAGAGAACUGCGCUGCGAAAGCUUUCACCGUUUUCUUAGAACUACUAGAUCAUUAGAUGCAAUAGUAGUUAAUACUCGUUUUUUGGUUGCUCCGCUUGAUUUUGUUGCACUAGAUGCAUACACCGCAGUCCCUAAUGUGGAUCAGAACACACAACCAGCCAACAAAAGCACACCUGGCGCUGAGAGGAUUGAUGGGGAAAACACGGACGAGGAGGAAAAGAUUGUCAGUAUUAACCUUGACGUAUCUGCAGUUUCAGUUGUUGUUUGUUUCCCUCGAUAGUUAAAUAAGUUCAGUUGGAUGUGUUGUUCUGAAUGUCAACUGAAUGCCAGAAGCGAGCUGCGUUCUAUCGAAAAAGGGUUGCCCCCCACUUUAUAUUAUAAAGCAACGACCACACGAUACAAAUGCUGGGGCCACAGCACAAGCAAGCCCAAAAUAAACAAAAAAAGGAACUGAAGAGAAAAUAAUGCCAACACCGGCGGAUCAACGAAAACGAUGAGGACCCGCAACCGCCGCGCCCACCGAAAAAUACCACCACGCUCCUAGCAUUCCGGACCGCCGCAUACCAAACAACACCCUCAAGAAGGAUUGCGACGAUGACGACGCUGUUGCCCGGACAUGUCCUAGGGUUUUCCCCGGUACGCGAGGGGUGAGGUGGAAGGGGUAUGCCCGACGCCCUUCAGGAAGGCACGACGGCGCCCACGAGCGUCACCGCGUCGGUGCCGGCCCGGCCGACAAGGAUUUCUCCCGCCCACCAACCAACCACGACCCCAGACGAUCCAUCCCGCGCCACCAAACACACCGCCCACCAACUUGCGCCACCACGGUCGAGCAGUCUCCAUCGCCGUCUCACCAUGGCAAAUGAAACGGGACCGACGGAAACAAGACGACGCAACCGGGAACCAGGAGCGGCAACAUCAGCAGCCUCGCGGGAGGGGACAUCCUCCACCGCCCCCGGCGGGAUUCGGCCGGACGCAGCACAGGG